rnacentral:rRNA from 1 species
GACGUAGGGCGCGAGCGUUGUCCGGAUUUAUUGGGCGUAAAGAGCUCGUAGGCGGUUUGUCGCGUCUGCUGUGAAAACUGGAGGCUCAACCUCCAGCCUGCAGUGGGUACGGGCAGACUAGAGUGCGGUAGGGGAGAUUGGAAUUCCUGGUGUAGCGGUGAAAUGCGCAGAUAUCAGGAGGAACACCGGUGGCGAAGGCGGGUCUCUGGGCAGCUACUGACACUGAGGCACGAAGGCCAGGGGAGCAAACGGG